rnacentral:rRNA from 1 species
GUGCCAGCAGCCGCGGUAAUACGUAGGGGGGCAAGCGUUGUUCGGAAUUACUGGGUGUAAAGGGAGCGUAGGUGGAAAGGUAAGUUAGGAGUGAAAGAUACGGGCUUAACCCGUAGUCCGCUUUUAAUACUGUCUUUCUUGAGUAUGGGAGAGGAUGACGGAAUUCCUGGUGUAGCGGUGGAAUGCGUAGAUAUCAGGAAGAACACCGGUUGCGAAGGCGGUCAUCUGGCCCAAUACUGACGCUGAGGCUCGAAAGCUGGGGGAGCGAACAGGAUUAGAUACCCUGGUAGUCCCAGCCGUAAACGAUGGACACUAGAUGCUGGAAGAGUCAAUCCUUUCAGUGUCGUAGCUAACGCGUUAAGUGUCCCGCCUGGGGAGUACGCUCGCAAGGGUGAAACUCAAAGGAAUUGACGGGGGCCCGCACAAGCGGUGGAGCAUGUGCUUUAAUUCGAUGCAACGCGAAGAACCUUACCUGGGUUUGACAUGGGGGUGAACGUUCCCAGAGAUGGGAGCCUUUCCUUCGGGAACACCCCACACAGGUGCUGCAUGGUUGUCGUCAGCUCGUGUCGUGAGAUGUUGGGUUAAGUCCCGCAACGAGCGCAACCCCUGUCCUUAGUUGCCAGCGGAUAAUGCCGGGAACUCUAAGGAGACUGCCUGGUAUAACCAGGAGGAAGGUGGGGAUGACGUCAAAUCAUCAUGGCCCUUACGUCCAGGGCAAGACACGUGCUACAAUGGCCGGUACAACGGGAUGCGAACUCGCGAGAGCAAGCCAAUCCCUUAAAACCGGUCUUAGUUCGGAUUGGAGUCUGCAACUCGACUCCAUGAAGCUGGAAUCGCU